rnacentral:sRNA from 19 species
CCUGUGGAGUGUUAUAUCAAACGAAAAUAGCCUUAGGCGAAAUCGGACACGAAGAAGCAGGAA